GUCGUGUCUGACUCUUAGUGACCCCAUGGACUGCAGCCUACCAGGCUCCUCCGCCCAUGGGAUUUUCCAGGCAAGAGUACUGGAGUGGGGUGCCAUUGCCUUCUCCACAUUCAAUUGCUAUGUUCAUCUAAAAUGGACUAAGUGUUUCUUUUGUGCCAGGUGCGGUGCUGAAUUCUUCCUUGAAUCAUGUACAUCUCACAGCCACCCCAUGCUCCUGGUUCUAUGAGGAUACCCAUUGUACAGAUGAGCAAGCUGAGGCAGAGAGAAGGAAGCAAGGAUCUGGAAGGGUCAAGACUCAAGCCCAGGAUCUCAGUUCCUCAACCAAGGAUUGAACCCAGGUCCUCAGCAGUGAAAGCAAGGAGCCUGAUCACUGGACUAUCAAGGAAUUCGCUACAUAUCAACAUCUUCUUUUGUGAAGUGCCUCCUGUGUUCUUGCCCAUUUUCAGCUGGGUUAGCUCCUUUUUAUUGAGUUGUGAGAAUUCUUAAUAUAUUUGGGAUACAAACCCUUUAUGAAACAAAAGUAUUAUGAUUAUCUUCUCCAAGUCUGUUGCUUACCUUUUCAUUUUUAAAUUAAAUUUUGUGAAAAGUAGAAUAUAAAAAUUUCCCAAUUGUUUGUUGUUGGUAUAAAAAAAUACCAAAGAUUUUUGAUUGUCUUUCUAUCCCAUGACCUUACUAAAUUCACUUAGUAAUUUUUUUUUGUAGAUUUCUUAGGAUUUUCUAUGUGGUUAAUCAUGUUGUUUAUGAAUGAAGACAGUUUUCAUUCUUCUUUUAUAAUCUUAAUACUUUUACUUUUUUUUGCCUUAUUAUACUGUGUAGGAAUUUCAGUACGAUGUUUUUAGCUUUACAAUGUUCAGUCAACAUACUGCUUCCUGAAAUUCACUUUUGUUAGCUCUUUUCUUUCCCAUUCUUUUCAGAAUGAUUGCAUUAUGCAUUUGUAAUACAGUUAAGUUCAUUCAUUACUAUUUGUAUUACAUUUGGUUCCAUCCACAAAAAAGUAACUAUUUGUCUUGAGUGCUCUGUGCAACAAUACCGGGGCUCUUAGUAAGAGCUACUAAAGAUAAAUACUCAGAGAAGGUGUUCUUCCUUCUCCUUACUUCUUAAUUCCUCACCUUUUUCUAUCCCUUUUCCACUCACCACUGUAGGCAACCAUUGUCUUUAAUUUUUAAACUUUUAUGCACAGACCUAUUUUUAAAAAUAUCCUUUAAUUUCCAUUUACUUGAUUAUUUUUUAUAAUGAAUGAAUGUUGAACUUUUCAAAGACUUUUCCCGCAUCUAUGGAGAUAAUUUUACGAUUUACUUUGUUUGGACUAUUAAUAUGGUGUGUGAUAUUAAUGCUUUCUUAGCAUUAAAUCAACCUUCCAUUAUUCCUGGAAUAAAUCUUACUUGGACAUGGUAUAUUACCUUCUUAAUGUGAUUCUGGAUUCUAAUAUUUUAGAUUUGAGUCUGCUAAUAUUUUAUUUGGUAUUUUGGCAUCAAUAUGCAUGAGUGAUAUUAAUCUGUAGUUUUCUUUCUUGGCAUUUUCUGUUUGGUUUAGGUUUCAAUACUGUGUGUUUCAGGUAAUGAAUUAGGAAAGUUUCCUCCGUUUUCAAGAAUCUGGAAUCAUUUAUAGAGCACUGGGCCUAUCUUAUCUGGUCUCAAAGGUUUGGUAGAAUUCCUCUGAGAAGCCAUCAGGGCCUGAUGUUUUCUUGUGAGGUUGCUCUUCAGUAACUUUGUUUCUUCUAUGGAGAUUGGCCUGUUUAAGCUUUCUAAGUCAAAUGGGGUCAGUUUUAGCAAUCUCCAUUUCCCUAGGAAAAUAUUCAUUUCAUCUAGGUUUUCAAAUUUAUAUGCAAAGAGGAUUGCAAAGUAAUCUCUUAUGAUUUUAAAAAAUGUCUUCUGCUCCAAUGGUUAUUUCCCUUUUGUAAUUUCUUAUUUUGCUAUUUGUAUGUUCUCUACCCCCCAACCUUGUUUCCCCCCCACUCCCCCACCUUGAUCCUCUGGUGAUGCGCCUAUUUUUAUUUUGAAAAACCUAGAAUUUUAUUUUUUUUUAAAAACCCAGUUCUCUACUUCAUUACUUUCUGCUUUUUAUUAUUUCCUUCCUUGAACUGUCUUUUAGUUCAUUUUGUUGCUGUUCUUAUUUUUCUGAACAAGGAAUGUAAUUAUUAUCAUUUCUGCACUUUUAUUGAUACAUGUGUUUAGUAAAGUUCUCAUUGUUAGUUUAUUUCUAUGUCCCCUUGCAUUGUCUGCAGUUUUUUGCUUCAUAAAGAUUAUUGCUGUGUUAUUUGGUGCAUACAUUUGUGUGUGUGCUCUAUCUUCACUGUGAAUCGUGGUUUUUAACAUUAAAAAGUAUUAUUCUUUGUCAUCC